rnacentral:rRNA from 1 species
UACGUAGGGUGCAAGCGUUGUCCGGAAUUAUUGGGCGUAAAGAGCUCGUAGGCGGUUUGUCGCGUCUGCUGUGAAAGUCGAGGGCUCAACCUCGAAUGCCGGUGGAUACUGUCGGGCUAGAGUACGGAAGAGGCGAGUGGAAUUCCUGGUGUAGCGGUGAAAUGCGCAGAUAUCAGGAGGAACACCCAUUGCGAAGGCAGCUCGCUGGGCGUUACUGACGCUGAGACGCGAAAGCGUGGGGAGCAAACAGG